rnacentral:rRNA from 1 species
CAGUCGCCGCGGUAAGACAGAGGAUGCAAGCGUUAUCCGGAAUGAUUGGGCGUAAAGCGUCUGUAGGUGGCUUUUCAAGUCCGCCGUCAAAUCCUAGGGCUCAACCCUGGACAGGCGGUGGAAACUACCAAGCUGGAGUACGGUAGGGGCAGAGAGAAUUUCCGGUGGAGCGGUGAAAUGCGUAGAUAUUUGUAGGAAUGCCGAUGGGGAAGCCAGCUUACUGGACAGAUACUGACGCUGAAGCGCGAAAGCGUGGGUAGCAAACAGGAUUAGAUACCCCCGUAGUCCCUGUCUCUUAUAC